GGGAAAAUAAGAUAGCAAAAUAGAAUAACCUGCUUCUAUUUGAGGUGUCCCUGAAGCAGUAUGGAAAUCUGCUCCAGGGGCACCUGAGCUCUCCAUUGAUCUAGUGACCUCAGGCAAGUUGCAUCAUCUCUCAGUCCUUCAUGAAGCAGAGAUUAUGCUCAAGGCCUCCUUUUGUCACAUGCUUUCAGAUCUGUUGAUGAAAGGUGCUUCACAGAAAUAAUAACCCUAUUCACAGAGAAUUUAAUGUCUUAUUUUCAAACUUAUUUUCCUCAUUAGUGCAAAUGGAUUCAGGAGUACUGGAACCAGGAAGCCCAAUAUGUGCUUUAGGCUACUCCAGCUCUUCAAGGGAAACUUGUCCUAAAAAACAGAUAUUUUGUAAGUGUCUCUCCUAAAAUGAUUCUAAAUAUCUGAUAUGUUAUCUGCUUAUUCUGUUUCAUGAUCUUGCUCUUGGUUGGUUGCCCCUUUUUUUUUUUUUCUUCUCCUUCUUUCCAAGUCUUGCAGAAUCUCAGUCUUUGAACUCUUCAUUCCUGUCAAAUCAGGCUGACAUGACCUAAAGGAUCAGAAGUUCUUAUGGGGGGUGGGAUGGGUGAACAGAAAUUCUUGUGUACCAUGAUUGUGUAGGUCUCUUAUCCUUAGGACACCAGGGCAAAAGUCAUGCCUGCCUUCAUUCCCUCUGCUUUGAAAGCCAUAGAAUGGACUUGCCAAAAGUUGAAGCUAUCUUUAUCCUUGGCAAAUGGGAUGGAAUUCUAGCCAAAAAAUGAAAGAAUAAGAUUUACAGCACAGAUGGGACUGCUUUGUGCAUGAACAGAACAGGUGAGGCACAAAUUAAAAUCCUCAUUGCUGCAUAAUCUGAUUCAGCAAAGCUGUUGCAGCUUCCUACAGAGGAAAUGGGAAAAGUUAUGUAUAGGACACUCCUAGUUCUGUACAGCACUGAGCUAUACAGAGAAGACAAAACAAUAUCUGGUUAGCCUUAGAAGGGGCAGCAGGAAGGAGAGCAAUAGUCUGUCUUGUUCAUGGUGAUGAAAUCAAGCCUUAGCACCAAGAAAGGGGAAAGGCAGAUAUUUUAUGUGAGAGAAGGAACAUUUCUAAUGCAAAGGUUGAAUGGAUUAGGUGAGGCCUCUACAACCUCUGAUUUAAAAACCUCUGGUUUUUAGAACAGGAUUAUGCAAGUGUCAGGAAUUACAUAAGAAUACCUGAUAACUGCAAGGCCUCCUGAGCUCCAUUUGAGCCACCUUUUGAUUGUUCCAUAAAGUACAGGUUGUCUUGUGAAAUACAGAUAUGCAGUGAUGCAAACAAGACCUUUGUGCUCUAAGCUGUUAGGGUUUGUCUAGGUGGAGACUGACAGAGCUGAAAGUCUGUUUUAUGCAAAGCAGAGUUGCUGAUAGAAAUACUGUCCUAAAUGAGUCACUCAGCCCUCAGAUGUGGGAGAACCAAAGCAUUUGAAAAUAGCCCCAACUUGCUAUAGCAUCAGGACUCAGAUGCACUUUCAGCAGCAUUAUGAGCACAACUCAUAGAAAGGCUCACAAGACUUAGGCUCACAGGUCCCUGCUCCAGACUGCAGCAGCCAGUGGAAACACCAGCACCAGUAUCACAAAGGUCUUGUAGAGGACCAGUUCCUGCAAACAUGAAGCUGAUCACACAUUUAUUGGAUUGCUUUAUUGGCUGGAGACCAGGACCAUCAGAGAUGGACAUGUCCUUGCUGUGGUGACAAACAUCUGCACCUGGCAAUGAGGCUGCCUUCCCUCACAGGCUCCAUGCUCCACUGGGCUAUUUUAGGACAGGUUAGGUACCAGAGCUGGGGGGAAAGGGAUGGUUUAUUAUGUGAAGAAAGGUCAGAAGUUUGCCUGCUUGCUCAACCAGCCAAAUCUGGUUUUAAUCUAUGAAAACACACCAAAACACCCUCUCAGAGAAAAAGAGAUGAUGGAGUCAAAGUGAAUGCUUUGCUGCUGCUGUAUGUACCUUGGAGCUGGAUUUUUCUGUGUAGUCUGUGGAAGCUUGUCACCAUGUUAAAUGUCCAGCUUUCAUUAAAUCCACACCUGAAGGAAAGGUAUUUCUAGCAGUGGCAAAAAUAUUGGCAUUUUUCCCCAGUGCCCAGAAACCAUGCAAAUGGUAAAUGAAAUUUAAUCAUAUGGUGUGAUCUCCAGCUCCCUGGGUCACUCACCAAAGUUUUUUGUCCUUCUAGUCAUGUGAAUUUUCAGCCCACCCAACACUCUUCUGAGGUACCUGGUACUUGCUGCAUUUGCUUCAGCCUCCUAGAAAUUCCAGGAUCUUCUUGACUAGUAUAUUAUGGGAGUUGUUGCAUUCAGAUAAACUGUAAUUCUAAAUCAAUAAUCAGCUGCUUGCUAGAAUAUUUCAGCUGACAUCCCUGUGAUUCUGUGUUGUAUUUUGCUUUGCUUUUUCUGAAUAUUCUGUUAGAUUUCGGCUCCUACAAACUAUUUAGAAGCAUCCUCCAGACUAGAUCUUUAUCCAUCUUUAGAAAAGACAUUUUGCAUGAGUUGCAGGAGGUCAUGGGAUUGCUGCUUUUUGGGAUGAAGGCUCACUGAAGACUUAAGUGAGGCAGAGAACCUGACUAACUCCCAAAGGCUAAAGUUACAGAGUUUAUACAUAUGUGAAAGGUGUGAUCAAGGAUGCCUUUCUCCACUGAAGGAUGCUGAAGUAAGUGUUGAUAAAAACAUCCCACAUAAAAGUGUUAAAAUGAAAACAGAGACAAGAGGAUGCUAAAUAGAGAAAGGAAGCUGGAUCUGGGAUUUGAUGACUGACCAUAAGCAGCUGUGCACAGUGGCCCCAGCAAACCCCUGUUCAGGAUCCAGGAGGAAUCCUUCACUGCCAGCCUAAGGAGAACAUUGGUGACAGCCGCCGAAAUGCCUUGAUCACACACUCCCAGCACCCUGCCCUGCCAGCAGCAGGAGGAAAGUCCAGUUUAUGUUAAUAAGGUGCAGAGACUGGCCAAAAUAUUUUGUGAAUUUUCUGGCUCAAAAGAGUAAUGAAGCUACCUCUGUCUCAGUGCACUGGCACAGAAGCAAACUAAACAACUGGGAAACGUGUUUCAGAGGAGAAAUACAGAGCACAAACUCCCUGGAUUUCACACUUCCACUGGAGGCUGAGCUUUCCCUCUUUCUACCUCUUUUCCAGGCUGGCUGAAGAGUUUUGCACAAAAAGUGGGAGGGAUGGGGGAGGGCGAUCAGGCUUUUCUGCAGAUUAGCUUCAGGCAGCUCUUGCCAGACCAAAAGUUACAUUGGAAAGCAUUUCUUAGUUUAUACCAAAACAAUUAAUUGUUUAAUAUGUAAAGUAAAACCAGAAAGUUAUUCCCAUAAAUUUGGUUUCAAAUCUACCUUUUUAUUAGCUUUGAGCAAAAGAAACCUCACUGCUGGGAGCACAGUCAGAUUCUUUGGGCUCUCUUCAAAAAGCUCUCUCUUUUUGUCAUUCCUCUCUGACCUCCUCCCUGCUAGUCCCGGGAUGAAAAGCAAGCCAAAGAUCUGCUGAGAAAUGGGCCGAGCCACUGCUGACCUUUGCAAAUCCAAUUUCUUCAAAGCGAGAGCUAAUCGACGCGUUCCCACGCUGUGUAUUGCUGAAACUUACGAUGCAAUUCAAGGAAUGAAUUCACCAUGGUGCAAUCUCAUUUUGAAUCCAGUUUUCUUGUUAUGUGUCAGAGGGUGAAGGAGGCAGAGUGUGGUACAAGUUAUAGAGAGCAGUCACAACCAAGUUUCACAAACUGUGGAAGUCUGUCUCUGAAAAAUUUUGCACUUUGGAAGGGCUCCUUCUCUUAAAAUCUAAAAUAUAUUGCUCUCCCUCCCACCUCCUUCUACUUUCUUCCCCCUCAAAAACAGAGACAUUUUGCAGUUAUUUAAAACAAAAAUAAGCUAAUGAGAGUUUGCACUGAGCAAUCUCCAAACAGAUAAAAAAUAGGCUCUAAGGGUAUUUUAUCUGAUGUGUAACCAAGGUGCCUUUUGGGGAGAUUGGUGUGCACAGGAGCUGUAGGUGCUGCAGAGGGAGCUUUAAAAUUCAUGUCCAAAAUUCAUAUUCUCUCACUUUGCAUAUCUGACCUGGUAUGAGCACUAUUCUGGUUUUACAGCAGCCAGAGUGGUCCACUCAGUGCGAGGUUUGGCAAUCUCUGCUGGGUACCGCAGCUGCGCCGGCAGGAUCCGUGCAGGAAAAGCACAUUGGCAUUCCCAACCCAAAUCUCAUAAUCUAGUUCCAACAGGUGCCUGGAGACUGGCCCCCUCCCUGUUUCCCAGAAGGUGCUGCCAUUUGUUUCCUGCUCCAGUGGCCAAGGCCUGGCUGAGCACUGCCUCUGCACCCACAUCCCGCUGGCACGCUCCCGGCGGGGCGGGUUUGCGCAAGGCUGCAACUCCUUGUCUGGGGCAAAAGGGACACAGGAGGACUCUCAUUGCUCCUUUAGCUCCUGUGGGGCAUGUGUCAUGGGUAGCACAUCCCAAAGAAUUGCUUUCAGCAGCCAAAGAGAGCAGUUAUGUCACUGCCAGCAGGGGUUGGGCUUGCUGUGCCUCCCUCGGGAUGUCACCUGUCCAGCUGGGAAGUCCUGGCAUGGCAGGUAGCAGCCAAGCUGCUCCACUGUUGGUGCCUCACCACAGACCUCCCAGACUGGGGUGUUCUGGCCAGUUUGGCCACGUAGUAGAACCAGAGAUAUCGUCAUUUACUUUUUUAGCUCAUUACCACCUUCACUGCACAAGUGUCAUUCCACCAUGGCUGAGGUAAUGGUGAAUCAGGUCCUUGGGCUAAUGGGCUGAACUGUGCCUUGGCUGUAAACUAAAGGCUUCCAGAGGAAGCCUCAAUGCUCUCAUUUUGUAUUUGUCCCUAGGAAAGCAAAUGAAGAUAUAUCAUUGUUCUCAAGAUUGCUGAAAGAAGCAAGUCCUUUUUUAAAAUUUUAUAAACCAGUCAUGAAUAGUAAAUUUCUUCUAUUCAUGACUGGUUUAUAAAAGAGUUUGCUAACUAACCAGAUCUGAAGAACUUUCGUUCUCAGCAAGUAUUGCAAUAAGUGAAUUGUUUGUGUUUUUAUUACUUUCUCCAUAUUUUUUUUAUCCUCUUUCCCAAGAUUUUCCAGUCUUCUGGACAUCAAAGAUUUUGGAGAAGAGGUUGUAUAAACUGGAUAGGUAACAGCUGUUACCAGAUGGAUUUACUGGUGGAAAGGGGAGAGGGCUAAUUUGUUUUAUGUGUUUCCUCCCACCUUUCACUGUGGCACACUGUUCCUGUCCUGUGACAGGGAGUGUCCUUGCACAGAAGGAGCCCUUGUCCACAGGUUUACACCUAACUUUGGGUUUUGGUGUUGGUUAUAAGUGACUUUUCCAAGUGCCUUCUUCAUAGCUCUUUUACCUAGUCCUCCAGUAGUUUAUUAGAGAGAAAAAAAAUGAGAGAGCAGCUCUAAUAUUGUUAGAUAAAGCACUGAUUGAUAGAUUUUCAUUUCUAACCUUUUCAAGUCAGAAGGUCUAGUUUGCUUCACUUUUGGAUAUCUCAGGACACUUAAAGUUGGAUUUAUUUUUGCAAAAUAAAUAAUUGAAUUCCUCCAGAAAGGUCAUAGUACCAAAGGAGGGUUUCAGCUGUAUCAUCUCUGUUGUGCCCUUCUGUUUAACAUGGAAAUGAACAUUUGCAUGAAUCUUCUUUAUUUCUUCAUCUAGUUUAAAAUUCCUUCUAUUUGUCUUUUAGAUUGCUGACUGUUUAAGAAAGGUCAGAGAGGGGAAAUGGUGAUUUGUAAUAUUGCAAAGCACUAACUGGUAAAAGAGAUUGUGUGUGUGUAUGACAACCUGAUUUUUGCAUAUUGCUGUACCAACAAUAUCUGAUCUCAUUCAGAUAACAGUAAAGCAGCCUACAGCUUUGACCAGAUUCAAAGAAACUCACACUUCUUGUUCUUUUCUUUCUUAUUUUGGGUUUGAUCUACUUGCUUUGACAUUUGCAUGUUGUGUUUUUAAGUACUUACCCUCACGUUUUUCAAGCUUCAGCAAGGGAGAGCACUUUCAAUAUAUAUUGUCUGCAAAAAGUGUCCCAUGUCCUCUGAAUAUGCUGACAUUCAAUCUGAUCUAAAAAUUUGAGGACUGGCAUCUUCUCAGUCUAGUCUCUUUCUUCCUGGGGUAGCCUAGAUUGAUACUUUUGAUCCUUUCCUUCUCUGAGCAAAUUCAGAAUCCAUUGCCAUUGCAGGAGAGGAGACUCUGGCUUCACCCAGUCUGUGAGGAUCCUCAGCCCUUUGCAAAAAUGCUCAGAUUCUCAUGGAGUUUAACUCUUCUCUGCAGCUGGCCUGGGGGGGUUAGCUGGGGGAAUAUCACUGGAGCAGAUAUCCAUGUCAAUGGCUGCUGGACUGCUGUCAGGAAAAAAGGAUCCUGUCUGGAGAGGGAUAGAGCAGAAUCCAUACCCAGAAAAUCAUCUGUAAUGUGAUUUUAGGCUUUCAGCCUUAAUUAAUUUCAAACUCUUUUCCUGCAUCUCUUUUAUUCACUCAUUGAGUACUGCUCCAUAUAGGUAAAGGAAAUGAUCAGGAAAAGAGAGGAAGUUAUCCAAAAGAGCAACUGAGCUUCUUUGCAACACUCAAGAGUAUUUUUUUCUGCACAACUAGUGGAGAAAUUGGAAUAGCUCUGCCAGUUUCAAGGCAAAGUUUUCCAUCUUUACUGAAUAUUUAGACCCCAAUAAGAACCAAACUACAAAGCCAAUAGCAAAAAUAUGGAGGAGGCUCAAGACUAGCUGGGUAGUUUGCUGCAUGAACAGGGAAGCGAGGUCCUUGAUUUUUCUUUGAACAAAAUGAGUUUACUGGGUAAAAUAGGGAGAGAAAGAGGUGUCUGAGUAAUAGUGAGAGGUGUGGUGAAAUCUAGGUUGUAGUCCCUGCUUUAGACAGCCCUUUCUAUAUGCCAAGUUAAUAACCAUGCAGGUGAAUUAGUUACCCUGUUAUCUCUGGGUCCCCAGGCUGGGUGCAAGCACUUAUGGAACUAAGCACAUUUAAUGCUUGUGCAGUGACAAAAACUGAAAGUCACAGCCUUUUAAAAGUGUGCUAAACAGACAAUCUCACAUCCAGAAGAGGGGAUCUUGUUGGCAAGCCUAAGAGUCAGCAGGAGCUUGUACAAGUGGUACCAAAUGGUUGCCAAGCCAUGAAAGCAACAGGUAAUUCAGGUGUGGUGUCUCAGUCUGCUGCUGUCUUUAAAGUGAGGUUUGUGAGCUUGGGUGCAGGCUUGUGCAGGUAGUGUGUGUCAAGUUGAAGCUACAUUUCAAUAAAUCACAGAAAGGUUUCUGUUGGAAGGGACCUUAAAGUUCAUUUUUCCAAUGCCCCUGUCAUGUGCAGGGCACCUUCCACUAGACCAGGUUUCUCAAAGCCCCUUGCAGGGAUGGGGCACCAAGUUUUGGGUUUUUUUGUUUCACUCCACAAGUUGCUGGCACAGGAGCUGAAGGGCUGUUUUCAGUGCACUAUGGAUAGAUGCUGCUGUUGUUAUUUUUACUAAUUCCUCAUCAUGUAUUUCAGGCUCUGCAGUGACAGUGAUGAUUAAAUAAAAAAUAAGAAAUCAUUAGCUUAGCUAAGUAUUUUCCAUGAAGGAACAUUUAUUUAUGGUGACACUGAAAUAUCAUAGCAAUGCUCUGAAGCAGUACAGAAACUCUGAAUUUUUAUGUAUAUAGCCAACAGGAGAUUAAAGAAGUUUGGCUCAAGAGCUUUUACUAUGAAGACAGAACAAGACUUUUCUUUUAAUGUACUUGCAUCUUCAUAAAAAUCUGUUAAACUGGAGCUUUCAGAGGAAGUGUAAAGCACAAGGCAAAUUAAAGUACAAUAACCCUGAAAGGACAAAGUAAUCUAACCAGUGAUGUAGUACUUACAGGAAAAAGAAUUGAGAUUACUGAUGGCUCAGUGCACAGAAGCAGCAUUUAUUAUGAUGGAAAAGUGUAUACUGUGAAUUAAUUCUGUCAGUUUUGUGCUGGCCUGUUUCUCAUUUUACAUGGCAAAUACUUUGAUCCAUGUUAUAAUGUAGGUACUUUUAGAACCCUGGGAAAUUUGCUGUCCCAAUCUACAGAUGAAAUAAUUUAAUCAUAAGUAUUUCACCAGGCAUUUUUCAAACCAAUUUAAUUAGGUUUCAUUGUUUACAGGCUUUGAGUAUAGCAUCCAGAGAUAAUUUAAGAGUGCAACCUGCUUGUCAACUUGAAAGAAAAUGAAAAAUUGGCUAAUUGUCAUUAUUUAAAACUCCAGUGUUCAAGCUGGAGUAUCUGUGGGGCUUUUUUUUCCUUUGAAAGAAUUUCUUCUUUUUAUUAAUUUCUCUCUGUAAUCUUGCCAUUCCUGUGCCUGUAAAUACAUUUAUUCUCAUGUAGUUUAGGAGGGAUUUAUGGCAUUGCAGUGAUUUUGGAUGGGUUUUGAGCUCUACUAUAUUCCUGUAACAUUUCAGAAUUUCCAGGGGCCUCAGAAGGAUUGUUCCAGAUUUAUGCUUGUAUAACACCAGCAGAAUUCUAUCCCUUUAUACUCACAUUCAGAGCUAAUGCAUUAGUCAUCCAGGUCCCUAAACAAGUUAAUUAUCCAGCCCAGUUCUUCAGUGCUGUCUUAACUGUUGCACUUACAAUUUUAUGAAUUUCAUAUAACAUUAGAUGAUGGUAAAUAGGUUUAAAGAUAAGCUGAACUUUUAAAGAUGGAAACUGUUGAUAUUUUUUACUAAUUUCUAGAUCUGUUGUAUUACCAGUACUCUUUGGGAAAGUUCUGAUUUACAAAAUGUGAUCUCACAGGAUGUUUUAUCUUAUUGGCUUCUUGCCAUAUUGCCAGAGUGCAGUGUAUUCAGGCAGAGGCACCCAAAGUGCAUGUUCCAGCAUGCAGAGAAACAGUGCAAAGCUGGUUUUCAUUUUCUAGAAACAGAUCCUAGUAACAGUGUUCCUCCUGCUGAAUGGCUUUUUAUUGCUGGCUUUGUGCUUUUGAUUGAGUUCUUUGGGUUUAUGUUUUUGAGACGUGUACCAUAUAUUCACAGGAAAAAUCCAAGUUUCAGAAGUUUUCUUAGAGUGGAUUCAGUGCUUUUGAAAUCUUUAUUGGAAACCGUCAUUUUCUGCCUGCUCACAAAUACAGCUCUUAUCUAUAGCUCUACCUGCCCAGCUCAGGAAAGAUCCCUUACAAAAUGUUAUGUGUUUUUCCACCCUUUCUCAGGAGGUGAUACUCUGUAAUAGAAAAAAUAACCAGUUAUUAUGCUAAGUUUUAAAAAUUGCCAAAAUAUAUUUAAGAAAAUUCAAUUUAAGAAAUGCUAUCUGGAAAAUACUAACUUUAGAAAUAAGACCUUGUCUCUAACCUCAAUGGAGAAUUUUCAGUUUUCAAGCAUCUGUGUUGUUCAGUUGAACUCUUCAUUCCCCUCCCAUUAGUAAUUUAACAUCUGUAUUUUUCAUAGAGCAGCUCAGCACUAUGCUAAAUUAAUAGCAAAAGGGCCAAGCAAAAAAAGAUUCUGAUCAGAAAUCAGAACCACUUCAGUUAAAGCCUUGCUCAGAUAUGCACUGAGUGGAGGUGAAGUUGGCAGUUUCACCUUGGGCAGUUCCUGUGAGAUCAUUUAAAAUGAUCCAGGAAAAGCUCUGAAGGCCAGCUCCUCAGUGAUAUCUGCUUGUAUAUUGUGCAAUAAUGUAUCUUUCUCCUCACCUUCUUUUCAUCUUUAUUCAUCUAGCUGUAUCUAUAAAAUUAAUUAUUAGUAACAGAUGAAUACAGAUACAAUAAUUCUUCCCCCCCCCCCCCCCUUCACCCCAUCCUUUAUAUUUUGCUCUCUUUCUCUCAUAGCUUAUUUGAUUAGUAUUUUAUGUCUCUUGAAGGCAUGUAGACACUGUUGUACUCACUUCUUGGAUAAUUUUUCAAACCAGCAACAUUUGAAUGGCUACAAAUUAAAAACCUGUUUUUUCUGAACCUCUGGUGAUGCACACUCUUCUAAUUUGCAUUUAGGUCCCUGUGAUAGUAUUCUGGUAAGAUCUAAAACAGAAUUUUCAUUUCCAAGGACUAAACAGGUUUCUGAAACUGACAGUGGAACACUCAGUACAACUUGGGUGAUAAGGUAGCCCUCAGUGAAAUAGCAAACAGCAUUUAACAGCAUUGCAGAAAGGAUUAUUUCCAUGAAAGUGUUCAACCCAGAUGGAACCAGGGAGUUUAGAAAUUGUGCAGAAAGUCAUUCCCUCACAAGAUUUGAUCACUGUCUAGGUCAAGAGUUAGAUGAGGUUUAGACAAAGUUCAUGUCCUGAUGCUUUGCUAUCCAUAGUGAAAAACUUAAUAUGAAUUUGAGCAUCUGAUUAUGCAGCUGGUACCCUAUUAAUUUGUUGUUAGCUUUUUUAAGUACUGCAUUUUAGAAAUCUCAUAUUUUUCAGCCUGCAUGGUGUUUCUCUGGCAGCACUUUUUAUGGGGUUUUGAAGCUGUGACCAACAAAUAAUUUUGUUCUUGUUUCUGUAACAGUUUCUGCAAAUUGUGCCAAGGCACUGACAUAUGUGAAGAACUGUGCAUUUUUUUUUUUUUUUAACUCCAUGGUUAUUUCAAUUUUGUAGGAUUUAGUGAAUAACAAGCAAUAUUCCCUGGAAGAAGAGCAUAUAGUCAAGUGCAUUGGAAGAUAAAAAGAUGAUAUACAGAAAUAAUUUACUCUUGGGAAUUCUAGUAAUGUCAUUUUUGGAGUUCUUCCACAAGCUUGCAUAGAAGGUGGUGGUUUGCUUUAUGUAACAGGUUCAGUGCUCAGUCUUAUCCCAGGAGUGAUUCCCCUGAGCACAUCUGACUCCAGUCUGCCUCUCUUAAUUUGAGAACAGUGAUGGGUGUGUUCUGCAUGCUAGACCACACCAGCAAAGUAGUCUCUGCACCCACAUGAAGCUUAGCAGAAAAAGGCUGGAUUUGGCAACAUGUGUCCAUCCCUCUCAUUUAUAAAAACACAUCAUGUCAGGCCCCCUCAGUUUUGACAGUGAUGGUUAAUCUCCUGAACAGCUUGCCUUUAAUGAUAAUUUCCCAUUUAGUAUCUAAUUCAUGUUUGGUACUCAGGCAAUGUAUAUUUCAUGAACUGCCCUGCUGACUGAGGAAACUUCAGCUAUUUUUUCUUCCAAAAAGAUACUUAGCCUUACCUCCCCAGCUGCACAAAGCCAGCAAUGAAUAAUCACUCUUACCACUUUUCUGAAAUAUCAAAGUGGUCUCUCUUCAUGGCAGAGAAUUCCAGACUGUCCUGGAGAAAGCAGGUCGUGUGAAUAUCUUUGCUGUAUUCCUAAUUGUUUGCUCUGGCAGCUCCCAGUGAAGCAGCUGGUUGUCUUUGGAAAGCUAUGCUUGUUGUUUUGGGUUUGAACAUCAUGUGUCUUUAAUUUUCAGCACUAGCCACAGGGAUAAGUAUCACAAAUAUCUGGUUGAAGGCCUUUUGCCCUUGGGAACUCAAUAUAUACUUGGCAGCCUCUCUGACAGUGGGACUGAGGGGAGAAUCAAAGUUGAUUCAUUGCCUUAUAUCCCCUCGGGGAAAAGAAAGAAUAAAAAUGGCAAUUGCUGCUUCAUUCAGUUGCCUGAGGCAUGUCUUUCCUGUUUUUGUAGAGAAUAAACUAAUGUCAUUUCUAAAACAAUCUUUCCUCUGUAUGAAAAUAUUAUUCCAUCCAAUAUCAUACAGCUGAUUCUGAGGCUUGACUUCCUCACAUCCCACUGUGGUACUGGGUGGACUUCAGAAUUGCAUAAACCUGCACAUAACCAGAAAUGGACAUUCACAUCUCCCAUUCAAUGCCUACGUCCAAGAGAAUCUACUGUCAUGUUCUUCAGCUCAGCAUACAGUAAACUCUAAUGAAAAUGGGUUUGUACAGUGCUGAAAAUGGUGCUGCACCAUGAAGAUGGGUUUGAGCCUGCAGCUUAAGAGAACGUGGAUUGUGCUUUAUUUAUUGUUCAGAGACUCUCAUUUCCUACUGCAUGAUUAUGACCAGCCUAAAUGAGCAUCUUGCUAUGACUUCCAGUGAAGAUAUGUUCAUUACUCUGCCUGUGGAUAUAGCUUCCCAAAUAUUCCCCACUUUCUGUGCCACACUGAAGGGGAACAGUCAUUAGGGUGGUAACAUCAUGAUACAAAGCCUGAGCUCCGAUGUAUACAUUAGCUAAAGAUUAACCAGGGUGCCAGCUGAGCUCUGAUUCUUUUAGAAAUGUGGCUCAGCAGAGCUCCAAGCUCUCACCAAGAUAUUUGCUCAUGUCUCCAUCACCCCUCAUCUCAAUUGGUGCAACUGCCAGAAAUUAUUUUCCUUAAUAGAAAAACUGUAUGCAUUUUGCAUGUUGCUCUUUGCUAUGUAGAUCUGGUUAAUUUAUGAUUUCGAUUUGAAAAUAGAAUUCAAAUCUUGUAAUUUAGAUCUGAAAAGCAUCUUUCUUUGAGGCAGUUUUUCGAUUUUUCUAGGAAAUCCAUUCCUUUUAUUUUAUAAUCAGCUCAACCCAGCACAAGAAUCUUAUGGAAGGUGGUGGCAGUUAUCAACUAUGCAAGUCAAUAAUUUUAUUUUCAAGUCUCCAAGUUUUGCUGUUAGUUCUGAAAUUCAGUGCUAUUCUAGGGGAUAUGUUGUUGAGUUGAUGAGGGACUUGUGAUACUGCUUAAAUACAAAAGAGAAUUUUAGCUAGGGAAGAAGCUCUGCAAGAUGAAUGGGUGUAUUAGCUUAGCAUGGAUCUGAACUUUGUCUUGCAAAACACUGCACAGGCUUUCAGUGACACAGAUCCCAUUGGAAACAGCUAUUGUCUAACAGCUGAAAAUAAUAGGGCUCAAAAUGGUUCUAAUUAUUCUGAUUUGAAAGGUAAGUUGGUAUGGCUUUUUGAUGCUUCAUUUGAAAUAUCCUGGUAUAUUGCUUAAUUAUAUUAAUAUAUGUAUUUAAUCACUGUGUCCAACACAGAGAAUAUGAACUUGAUCUGUAAGCAAAACCCUGUCUUUACACUUGCAGGAGUGUGUGCCUGGCCCUGAUUGUACAAUUAGCAUUGGGUUUGCUUUGUAACAAUUUCCUUAAGUUAUAAGCACUUCAGAAUGAUACAAGUAUUCAAAGUAUGAUUCAAUUUGCAUUUUUUAUAUCUGCUUCCAGUAAUUUAUUGGCACUCAAGAAGCAAUGCUCCUAAAUCAGUGUUGUAUAUUUUAUACAGAAGAGCCAGACAGAGGUGUGGCACAAGGUAAAGUCCUUCUAUUCCUACUUCCUUCUUCCUUUUAGCUCUGCUCCACGCUAAGGUAUGGAAACCAUCUUGCACAACAUUACAGAGACAUAAGAAGGCACCCUGUACUUGAGAAAGGACUGGAGUGAGAAAAACAAGUGUGAUGUUAAGAGCAAAGCACAGCAGAAAAUACUUUAGGAGGAUCUAUAAAAAGUUUAAAUUGGUAAAGCAUGUAUGUGGGUGGGUUAGAAAGAAUAAAGCAUAAUUAAGUUACUGAAGCCUCAGCAGGACUCUGAACAUUGUUCAGCGUGCAUUGCAGUUCGCUUUAAAGAAAUGUCAAGAAUAGCCACAACCUUAGAAUGGGGACCUUUUUUGUAGUGUAGCUUUGAUUUCACCAAAUGCACGAAGGCUGCCCCUUCUUGGGCUUGUGCUGCAGGGUGCUGAGUGUAUUCCAGGAACACGUGGAGGCAAAAGUUCCACCUUCUGCAAGCUGGUGACAGAGCAGGGCUGUCCAUAUUAGACACAGCUGAAAGUCAGAGGAAGUUUGCCAUCCUGCAUGACAAAGGGUGCUGGGCCCCAUUUGGGGUCCCUGCCUGCACACCAGUACCAGGAGAAGGGUGGAUGGAUGAGAGGAGGUGGCUUUGCCCUCUCUCCCUCUGAAGUGAAAAGUGUGGCAAUCACAGAAGAGCCUCCUUGCAGCUACUGAACAGCAUUUCUAAUUGCUCUGUGAUGUGAACAGUUUAGGUCCAAUGCCCUUGAUGCCCUG